AUUGAACGCUGGCGGCAGGCCUAACACAUGCAAGUCGAACGAGUGGCGGACGGGUGCGUAAUGUCUGGGAACCUGCCUGAUAGAGGGGGAUAACUACUGGAAACGGUAGCUAAUACCGCAUACUAUCGGAUGUGCCCAGAUGGGAUUAGCUAGUUGGUGGGGUAAAGGCUCACCAAGGCGACGAUCCCUAGCGGGUCUGCGAGGAUGACCAGCCACACUGGAACUGAGACACGGACCAGACUCCUACGGGAGGCAGCAGUGGGGAAUAUUGGAAAAUGGGCGAAAGCCUGAUGCAGCCAUGCCGCGUGUAUGAAGAAGGCCUUCGGGUUGUAAAGUACUUUCAGCAGGGAGGCGUUACCCGAAGAAGAAGCACCGGCUAACUCCGUGCCAGCAGCCGCGGUAAUUC
rnacentral:rRNA from 1 species